rnacentral:SRP_RNA from 1 species
UGGCUGUAAUGGUCAAAGUGGUAGGCGGCUCUUGCAAUUCUUAUUUCCCGCUGCUUCAUGUCCGGGUUGGGCUCUUCGCCCAGCUCGACCCAGUGCGUCGCCCAGUGCGAAUGCUGCGGUGGCCGCCCACUCGCACGGGAAACCUGCGAUGCUGGAACCUUGCUUGCGGCCCUAAGCAAUCGGAGAUGAUACUUCAGGGAGGCUUCACUCUGCAGAGGCAUCUUCACCGUCGCGUGGCGGACUGGAUUACGAUCGCAUUGGGUUGGGACAGCAUUUGAGAUGAAGAAGCCAACUACUAUUUUU